rnacentral:tRNA from 1 species
GCUCGCCCUCGCGGGCCGGGGCGCGAACGUCGUCGUCAACGACGUGGGGUCGGCCGCCGACGACGUCGUGGCCGAGAUCAAGGCCCGCGGCGGGCA